rnacentral:sRNA from 1 species
UGUUACUGUCCGUAGGCCAAUAUGUCGGC